rnacentral:rRNA from 1 species
GAUGAACGCUAGCGGCAGGCUUAAUACAUGCAAGUCGAGGGGCAGCACAGUGUAGCAAUACAUGGGUGGCGACCGGCAAACGGGUGCGUAACACGUACACAACUUACCCUUUACUGGGGGAUAGCCCAGGGAAACUUGGAUUAAUACCCCAUAUUGCAAAUGACCGGCAUCGGUUGUUUGCCAAAGUUCCGACGGUAAAGGAUGGGUGUGCGGUUGAUUAGGUAGUUGGCGGGGGUAACGGCCCACCAAGCCUACGAUCAAUAGCUGAUGUGAGAGCAUGAUCAGCCACACGGGCACUGAGACACGGGCCCGACUCCUACGGGAGGCAGCAGUAAGGAAUAUUGGGCAAUGGACGCAAGUCUGACGCAGCGACGCCUCGUGAGGGACGAAGGUCUUCGGAUUGUAAACCUCUUUCAGCAGGGACGAAGCGAAAGUGACGGUACCUGCAGAAGAAGCACCGGCUAACUAUGUG